GGUUAACUCCGCUAAUGGUGAUUGCAACCCCAUACACAAUGUGCUCACGUAUUUUCUCAGUUUCAACCUGGCUGGUGGUAGGCUAAUGUGGAAGACUACCUUGUGUUUAAGCUAGCGCCCUUGGAAGGCGAAAUGAGUUUUCACGGUGCUUAUGGUGCUUACGUUACUGAGGUCAUGGUGCUCAAGGUGCAAGAACUAAGCCAGAAGAAUAAAGGUGCCUGGUGUAAAGGCAGAACAUCCUGCAGAGUGGACUGAUGCUUCACAGAGUCAUAGAAAAAUGAUUUAUUUAUUAUAUUUAAAGUGCUUUGAGUGCCUUAGUGGUGGAAAAGUGCUAUACUUGUACAAGUGAAAGACCAUUUACCAUUUACCAUAUUUUACAUAGCAAAAAAAGACUGCUAGUUUUUUCCUCGUUUGCCAUUUUGGGAGUGAAUUGAGUUACUAGGCAUUUAAAUAUUGCCACAUGGGAAUAAUGACAUUAUUGAAGAAAAAUGGAUGGAUGGAUGAAAAUUGAUCUACUUCAUUAUUUGAAUUCUAGAUUUUAAAAAUUGAAUAAUUAUAACAUUAUCACUCAUAAAAAUCGGUUGCCAUGUCUGCAUUCUUCACAGUUUUGCAAGUGUAAAAAAUAAGUUCAACAUUGUUGCAUACCAGUCAACAUUUGCAUUUGAAAAGAACUUUUUCGAAAAUACGGGAAAUUUAAGCUGGAAUGGGGGCUAUUAAAGCUUGUGUUAAAGUGAC